AUGUUGUAUGAAAGAAGGUAAGGUUAGCGUGCCCCUUGAUAAAGAUGGAAGGGGUCCUUGUGGCCUCACAACACACAAAUGAUUAAGGCAUUGCUAUCUACCUGGUGGCAUCUAACCAUGUGUUGGG